rnacentral:misc_RNA from 1 species
GUGAAUCAUCAAAUUUUUGAACGCAUAUUGCACUCUCUGGUAUUCCGGAGAGUAUGCCUAUUUGAGGGUCAUUCGUAAUAAUAUAAAUUCUAAGAUCUCUCGGAAUUUAAUAUGUGUUGUCCAUUUUUUGUGGUUGCCUAAAAUCCAAGACAAGCUCAUUUUCUUGGGUUGCGUGAUACUUUCAGUUACCUCGUGACUUAACAAGGAAUCAUCGUGCGUGUUAUGAAUUUUUCAUGAG